rnacentral:misc_RNA from 1 species
GGUAUAAAUCUUCUUACAGGUACAACAACAAAAGGUUCUAGGUAUUUACCAAAAAAAAAAUAUGUGGAUAAAAAUUGGCAGAUUUAAAUAUAUUUUUAGCAAGAACUACUAUACUUAGUUGUCAAGAUAUUUUGAUUUCGAUACAGUAAUUCUAAUUUGAUCAGAGUUAAGGCUAUUUUUGCUCAGGUGAGUGAUGUGGCCCCUGGGCCUCUUGUUCUUGUUUUCCCCCUAUUUUAUACAUUAUUUUAAUCUCAUUUUUAUCAUUAGAAGUGCAAUAAACUAAGUAGAGAAUUUC